rnacentral:ribozyme from 14 species
AAACAUCAAACAAAAGAAAAGAAAAAAAGAAGAAAAAAAGAAAAGAAAAAAAUGGGUCAACGAAAGGAUGUGUCU